rnacentral:rRNA from 1 species
CCUACGGGAGGCAGCAGUAGGGAAUAUUGCUCAAUGGGGGAAACCCUGAAGCAGCAACGCCGCGUGGAGGAUGAAGGUUUUCGGAUUGUAAACUCCUUUUGUUAGAGAAGAUAAUGACGGUAUCUAACGAAUAAGCACCGGCUAACUCCGUGCCAGCAGCCGCGGUAAUACGGAGGGUGUAAGCGUUACCCGGAAUCACUGGGCGUAAAGAGCGCGUAGGCGGGAUAGCAAGUCAGAUGUGAAAUCCUAUGGCUUAACCAUAGAACUGCAUUUGAAACUGUUAUUCUAGAGUGUGGGAGAGGUAGGUGGAAUGCUUGGUGUAGGGGUAAAAUCAGGAGAGAUCAAGAGGAAUACUCAUUGCGAAGGCGACCUGCGAGAACAUAACUGACGCUGAUGCGCGAAAGCGUGGGGAGAAAACAGGAUUAGAUACCCGGGUAGUC